GAAAAGAGUACUUCUAUCCGAAAACUAUGAGUUGGAUCCCCCUAGGCGAAACGGUUCUACCCGAGUUAAGCUACAUAAAACAACCUGAGCAAAGAGUACUUCUACCCUGAGCUGGAUCCCUUAAGCGAAACGAUUCUACCUGAGUUAAGCUGCAGAAAAGCAAUCACAGAGAAGAGUACCUCUACUCCAAACUAUGAGCUUGAUCCCCCUAGGAUAAAUGGUUCUACCUAGAUUAAGCUGCGUAAAAACAACCUGAGCGAAGAGUACUUCUACCCGAAAAUAUGAGCUGGAUCCCCCCUAGGCAAAAAGGUUCUACCUGGGUUAAGCUACGAAAAAACAACCUGAGCGAAGAGUACUUCUACCCGGAACUAUGAGUUGGACCCCCUAGGCGAAAAGGUUCUACCUGGGUUAAGUUGUGUAAAAACAACCUGAACGAAGAGUACUUCUACUCGGAAAUAUGAGAUGGAUCCCCCUAGGCGAAAAUGUUCUACCUGGGUUAAGCUGCGUAAAAAUAACCUAAGCGAAGAGUACUUCUACCCGGAACUAUAAGCUGGAUCCCCCUAGGAGAAAAGGUUCUACCUGGGUUAAGCUGCAUAAAAACAACCUAAGCGAAAAGUACUUCUACCCGAAAAUAUGAGAUGGAUCCCCCUAGGCAAAAAGGUUCUACCUGGGUUAAUCUGCGUAAAAACAACUUGAGCGAAGAGUACUUCUACCCGGAACUAUGAGUUGGAUCCCCCUAGGCAAAAAUGUUCUACCUGGGUUAAGCUGCGUAAAAACAACCUGAGCGAAGAGUACUUUUACCCGAAAAUAUGAGUUGGAUCCCUCUAGGCGAAAAGGUUCUACCUGAGUUAAGCUGCGUAAAAACAACCUUAGUGAAGAGUACUUCUACCCCGAACUAUGUGCUGGAUCCCCCUAGGCGAAACAAUUAUACCUGAGUUAAGCUAUGAAAACUAAGUCUGGGUGAAGAAGACUUCUACCCGGAAAUAUGAUAUGGAUCCCCUAGGCGAAAAGGUUCGACCUGGGUUAAGCUAUGAAACUAAGCCGGGGCGAAAAACACUUCUACCCGAAAAUAGGAGCUGGAUCCCCCUAUGCGAAAAGGUUCUACCUGGGUUAAUCUAUGAAAACUAAGCCUGGGUAAAGAGUACUUAUACCCGGAAAUAGGAGUUGGAUCCCCCUAGAUGAAAAGGUUCUACCUGGGUUAAGCUAUGAAAACUAAGCCUGGGCGAAGAGUACUUCUACCCGGAAAUAGGAGCUGGAUCCUCCCUAGGCGAAAAGGUUCUACCUGGGUUAAGCUAUGAAAACUAAGCCUGGGUGAAGAGUACUUCUACCUGGAAAUAGGAGCUAGAUCUAGGCGAAAAGGUUCUACCUGAGUUAAGCUAUGAUAACUAAGCUU
rnacentral:lncRNA from 1 species